rnacentral:rRNA from 1 species
AACCAGACUCCUACGGGAGGCAGCAGUGGGGAAUAUUGCACAAUGGGGGAAACCCUGAUGCAGCGACGCCGCGUGAGCGAUGAAGUAUUUCGGUAUGUAAAGCUCUAUCAGCAGGGAAGAAAAUGACGGUACCUGACUAAGAAGCCCCGGCUAACUACGUGCCAGCAGCCGCGGUAAUACGUAGGGGGCAAGCGUUAUCCGGAUUUACUGGGUGUAAAGGGAGCGUAGACGGCGGUGCAAGCCAGAUGUGAAAGCCCGGGGCUCAACCCCGGGACUGCUCUGGAAACUGCGGCGCUGGAGUACGGGAGGGGCAGGCGGAAUUCCUGGUGUAGCGGUGAAAUGCGUAGAUAUCAGGAGGAACACCGGUGGCGAAGGCGGCCUGCUGGACUGCGACUGACGUUGAGGCCCGAAAGCGUGGGGAGCAAACAGGAUUAGAUACCCUUGUACA